GUACUUUCAGCAGUGAGGAAGUGGGUAUGUUAAUAGCAUACUCAUUUGACGUUAGCUGCAGAAGAAGCACCGGCUAACUCCGUGCCAGCAGCCGCGGUAAUACGGAGGGUGCGAGCGUUAAUCGGAAGUUACUGGGCGUAAAGCGCAUGCAGGUGGUUUGUUAAGUCAGAUGUGAAAGCCCGGGGCUCAACCUCGGAAUUGCAUUUGAAACUGGCAAACUAGAGUACUGUAGAGGGGGUAGAAUUUCAGGUGUAGCGGUGAAAAUGCGUAGAGAUCUGAAGGAAUACCGGUGGCGAAGGCGGCCCCCUGGACAGAUACUGACACUCAGAUGCGAAAGCGUGGGGAGCAAACAGGAUUAGAUACCCUGGUAG
rnacentral:rRNA from 1 species